rnacentral:rRNA from 1 species
CCUACGGGAGGCAGCAGUGGGGAAUAUUGCACAAUGGGGGGAACCCUGAUGCAGCGACGCCGCGUGGGUGAAGAAGUAUUUCGGUAUGUAAAGCCCUAUCAGCAGGGAAGAAGAUGACGGUACCUGAGAAAGAAGCCCCGGCUAACUACGUGCCAGCAGCCGCGGUAAU